rnacentral:rRNA from 1 species
UACGUAGGGUGCGAGCGUUGUCCGGAAUUAUUGGGCGUAAAGAGCUUGUAGGCGGUUUGUCGCGUCUGCUGUGAAAAUCCGGGGCUCAACCCCGGACUUGCAGUGGGUACGGGCAGACUGGAGUGUGGUAGGGGAGAUUGGAAUUCCUGGUGUAGCGGUGGAAUGCGCAGAUAUCAGGAGGAACACCGAUGGCGAAGGCAGAUCUCUGGGCCGUAACUGACGCUGAGGAGCGAAAGCAUGGGGAGCGAACAGG